rnacentral:sRNA from 1 species
AGACACUGAUACAGAUGAAGCACAUUAUCAGUCUCUUGAUGUUAUUAAUACUGAUAACAGAACUCCUGAUCAGAGGAACACGUCUGCGGAAAUAUGUAAAACUACGGUUUGAGCUUGACACAGAGCUGUUACACAACGUAAAGACUCACUCUUUAUUUACUUCUAGAAACGUUUAAUGACAACUCGCUGAUCAUCGUGACUUCUUGGCGAAUUAAUCGGAAGGAAAGCAACAUUCGAUGUGUGGGACUUGUUCAAAGUGAUAAUAUAAUCUCCUAGAACUCUUCAAUACUUGCCAGCUGAUCGAUCACAAACAUCUUUGAAGUCUCAACACGAUCUUCAAAUAAAAAAUGUUUAUUCUUUAAAAGAAAA